CGCGGCCUUCUGUCCACCAACGCCACCCCUUUCUCUCUGAUUGCGCGGGUGGCCAGAUCCGAGCUUUGGCUGCUCCAUGCCUCCAUCGCGGCAGCAGCAAUGCCUCGGCCGGGGUGUGGCCGCGGGGACAAGAGCGGCGACGGAGGUGGGCAGGUGCGUGGCCACCGGCACCCGGCAUGCGUGACUAGCGUGAGGUCAGGAAGCAGCGGCGGCAGGCCAGGGCUGGGACGAGCAGUUCAGGGGCGCGGGCCACGGCACCCGGCCUGCCUCCUACGCUGGUCUGCAGCGCGCGGCGCACUGGGGCGCGAGGGCCAUCGCGGCGUCCUCGACAUCCUCGCGGCUGAGUGCUGACGUGGUCCGACGCGUGCCGUGGUGUGGACGGCCGCGCCCCUCGAGGCCCGACGCGACGCGCGACUACGGCGGCUGUCCGGCACGGGCCGGGGUUGCGACGGCCGCCGCGCACGCUCUUCAGCUUCAAGGACAAAACUCCCCAUAUGUCGAGCCCGUCUCCGCGGCCGCUCAUCUACUGAUUCCGCGUCCCCACGUACUGGUGAACGCUCCCUAUUUUCCACUUUGCAAUGUCGUAACAUGUCCUGUGUUGGAUGAUUCGAUCGACGCUUGCAUGCUUCGCGUAGUUACUGGUAUCUGAUGCAAGACAUCCCGUCACUGCUACAGUAUUUGAAGUACAGCAAGGUCAAGUAUAAUGGGCUAAUGGCAUCAUAUACCAUUCCAUUAAUUGAGUAAAUUAUUGAAUUAAGUGAGAAUAAUAAAAUUGAGAUGGCAGCUGCUCUCUUGCUUGAUAAAUUGUUUCUCUUCAGGAAUUUGCAAACAAUCUUUUCAAUAGAAUGGGCGGCUAAAUUUUCUUUCUUUGUUCGAGACCGGGAGACUUAUGUUGGAUAUUUUGCUUAUUAAUAAUAUUGGCCGUAUGCAUCAUUCAGAUGCAGAGGCUGGGGCAUGCCCCCCUUUUCGAAAAAAAAUGAAAAGAAUGGCGGCUAAAUAGAAUGACGGCAUAGACUGAAAUUAUUGAGUGAAAGCUGUCAAAUGUGUAUUCUCUUUCAUUUUAUUUAUGAAAUCUGUCAUACUAUCUGCAUCUAAUCUGUCAUACUACCUUCAUAGACUGAAUUACAUUACUUUGUCAGAUGAGAGCUGAUGGGGUGGCUCCUAUUUCAUACCAGGAAAGUAGCAGCACCCUUCGGAUCAGCUUACUAUCUCCUCAAGACCAUGUCAUGACUUAGGGAUUUGUGCUGCAAUAAUUAUUACCUUGUGCAAGGAGGAAGUUGACAUCGAUUCAGUUACCGCAUCCCAUAGACGGUUUCCAGAACAAUACAAGCAUCUAAGAAACACUGCUGCUAUUUAGUAGAAUAUUUUGAAUCAUUAGGCAAUGAGGGAAUCUGAGCUCCCAACCCAUGCUCGUGUUGCCAAGGUAUGUGGACACAAAUCAAUCCCGACUGGUUACUUUGUUCCUUCUUAUUUGAUGUGUCACUUUCUUGCAAUUUCAAGCGUGUUCAUAUUGUUUUCUUAUAGAACAAAUGCUCCUUGUUGAGUUGCAGUGGAAGCCAUCUAGAAAAGAAUGCUCUUACUAAUGAAGGUCAAUUUUGAGUGCUUCACUUCUAGGUCUUGGAUUGUUUUUGAUAGCAUAUGUUGUAUCAAAUUUUUUUGUAGCUAUAUAUGAUCCCUCACAGAUUAGUAUUUCACAUUCAUUUUCAAAAUUACUUGCACAUCGGUGCAUCCUAAUGAGGAGGGAGAUGUAUUUUCAUCAUUUUUUCCUCAUCAUCAUAUAUUCAUAAGAAAGGGACCACCUACCUAACAAUAGCAAGUGAGGAUCGGUGAUGGCGGCUUGACUCAGUUAGAUAUUGCUUUAUUCAUUUUAUGGUUUGUUCUCUAUAUGAAUUAGUAUUUUUCAUGGGUUUGCAGCAAUGCUUAUCCUCUUAACAUGGUGGACAUUAAUUUUUUUAUAACACAGGUAAUUUUUUAUCCACUGAACAUAUGGAAUUAACUAAAAGUUCAGAUGAAACUUGUACUCUACAGGUGAAAGAGUGACAACAUUUGUACAUUUCUGGAACUGAAAGGAUACAUAUGACCUGUUGUUUUCCGGUAGGUAUGUACAAUGGACACCUUGCAAAUUCAGAAUGCUUAAAGAAUGGACACCUACAGGAAAACAUUUGUAAACAUUUGGAUGUUCUGUAUUAUAUAAUUUUGGAUUCUCUAUAAAUGUUUUUUCUGGAAAGGGCUGGUUUGAAGAUUAUUCUGACUAACGACACUAGCCCCACCUGGAAAAACAUUGCUUGAUAGAGUUGAAUUCUAUGAAUCCGAUCUUCUUUCUUACUGUAGAGACAACAAGAUAGAGCUUGAUCGCAUUGUUGGAUGCAUACCACAGGUGCAGGCAAUUGUCCCCCUUGUUUGGUGAAAUAAAAUGAAAGAAAAAAAUGCUACUCAAUUACAUGUCUUUGUUUCAGAUUCUUAACCCUAAUCCAGAGGCAAUGUCAAAGAUUGUAACUGAAAAUUCAAAUGAGAAAUUUUUGUACUCAUUGAGUAACUACUGUGCACUUUAGGUUAGUUUAAGGGUGUCUUACAUACAUUCUUCACUCAAUCAAAAUGCAGUCGCAUUCAUGAAACUUAAAAUCAAGCCCCAUUUAAUUAAAUUGUUUUUUCUUCAAAAUUUUCUUGAUCUGGAGUUAAGGAUCUGUACUAAAUCUAUUUAUGCAUUGUAUUUCAUGUAGCUUUGUGUGCUCGUUUAAACAAUUGUUGUUGAAACACCAAUUAAAUAAGUGAAUGUACUUAUAGAACUUUUGUUUUAUUGAAUCUUCUAUCAGGGUUGCAGUUAGCAUUAUUUUUUCAGCAUCAUUACCAAUCAAUUGCCUUGUUGCAGGCUGCUGACACAGAUAUUUCAGCCUUAGUUGAAAUUGAGAAAAAUAGCAGACAUCGCUUUGAGUUCUUCAUGGAUCUUGUUGGGGAUCAGCCUAUCUGUGCUUGCACUGCCUGGGCAUGUAUGAUGAAAUCAGGUGGCCGCAUUUCACAUGCUUUGUCUGUGUAUAGUUGUCAACUUCGCCAUCCCAACCAGGUUCCUUUCUGUUCUGUAUUGAUUUCUAAAAGUUGCAAUAUGACAACAGAAAUAUUUGAGUUUCUUAAAGAUGGAUUUCAUGAAGUCAGCAAUACCCUCGAUUUAUCCUUUGAUGAUGACUCUGUUGCUGUCGAACAAAUUCCCUUCCUAGCAACCUAGCUAGUUUUUUGAAAGAGAAUAAGUCCAAUUCCUGUGAGCCACCAGCUAGAUGUCUAAACGAUUUAUGAAGAGCUACCACCACAUUCCUCUAACUCCUGAUAAUGUUGUUGUGUUCCCUUCUCGUGCUGUGGCAAUAGAAAAUGCUCUUCAAUUGUUCUCACCGGCGCUCGCAAUUGUUGAUGAACAUUUGACCAGACACUUGCCCAAGCAAUGGUUAACAUCUUUAGCAAUUGAGGCUAGAACAGAGUACAGUUACUGUGAUUGAGGCACCACGCCAGUCAGAUUUACUGAUUGAGUUGAUCAGGAAGCCAAAGCCUCAAGUUGUUGUUACUGGGAUGGCUCAAUUUGAGGCUAUCACAAGUGCUGCUUUUGAGAACUUACUAAAUGCAACAAAAGAUGUUGUCUCCCUGGUUAUUCCUGGAUAUUUCAGAGCAUCUAGAGUUGUCUAGUCUGCCAAGCUCUAAUGGUGUAUUUAAAUAUCUUGCUGGAAAGACCCUACCUUCCCAUGCAGCUAUACUGUGUGGUUUAGUAAAGAACCAGGUUUAUUCCGAUCUGAAGUUUCUUUUGCCAUAUCUGAAGAUGCAGCUGUAUAUAAAGCAUUGUCACAAACUAUUGAGCUAUUAGAAGGCCACAUGUCUUUGAUCAGCCAGCACUAUUAUGGUUGCCUUUUCCAUGAGCUUCUGGCAUUUCAAAUUGCUGACCGGCAUCCACAGCAGGAGAGGCACCGGCAGAAGUGAUACCUCAUCAGAUGAUAGGAUUUUCUGAUCCAGCUAUGUCUACUGUAAAGGCAGCUGAAACUUUCAUUCAUGAUUCAAAUGAAUCAGUGUCACUCAUAUGGAUUUAGAUCACAGCUUUCUGCCAGUACCUUCUGCAGUGAAUGCCUGUGCCUUUGAAAGUUUUGUCAGGCAAGAACAGGGCACCUUGCUUUUCCCCUUGGGCACCAAUGGCCAUUACAUCUCUGCAGCAAAGUUUGUGAAUGCAAGCACCUUGACUAUACCUACAACUUUCAGUUCAGGAUUCAAGAUUGAGCCAAAGGUUCUAGCUUUUUUGCGAAACAGCGAAAGGUUCUAGCUGACACUCUUAAGAAUGUAUCUCGGCCAUGGGUGUACAUUUGUGGCCCCACGAUCAACCCUACUGGUUUUCUGUACAGUGAAAGUAAUAUUCAAGAGCUGCUCUCCGUCUGCGCUGAAUAUGGAGCUACUAGGGUAGCGAUAGAUACCUCCUUCUAGGCCUGGAGUGGUAAUGGAUGGCUGGAGUCGGUGGAAUCUGGAAGGAUGCCUUUCUUCUUUAAAAUGUUCAAAGCCCUCAUUAUCUGUAGUCCUGCUAGGAGAACUGUCUUUUGAGCUGAUUGCAGCAGGACAUGACUUUGAGUUUGUAAUUUUGAAUGACCCAUCCUUGGUUGAUGCGUUUCAUAGUUUCCCGAGCUUGAGUCGGCUGCACAGCACAUUUUCAAAAAGCUACUUGGCCUGAAGAACUAGAAGGAUCAGCAUUUCUCUGAUCUAAUGGCGGAGCAGCAGUACGAGCUGAUGAUCAUUCUUCUGUACAUGCUGAUGAUCAUUCUUCUGUAGUUUCUAUGCUUUCAAGCUAUGUUUGACAUUUUCUCUUGUGUCACCGUUGCACAAUGAACAGACGUUGCAGAGCUGUGGCUGGGACGUUGCCAGCGGUUGUGCUGGCAUAUCGAUGCUGGCGAAACCGACUGCCUACAUUGGGAAGCGCUUCAAAGCUGAUGGCUUUGAGGGCAAGCUGGAUGCGAGCAACAUCAGGGAAACCAUCCUCAGAGCCACGGGGCUGUGCAUAAACAGCAGCUCCUGGACUGGGAUACCCGACUACUGCCGGUUCAGCUUUGCGCUGGAGAGCGGCAAAUUUGAGCGCGCAAUGGGAUGCAUAACUCGGUUCAAGGAGUUGGUUCUGGGAGGCAAUGUUCAGGCUUAGAUGAAUGGAAACUGAUGGCAGACUGGUGAUUGAUCGAUCGCCUCCAUCCCAUUCCCGUUCUGGGAGGCAAUCAAUCCAUUGUUUGAAAAUCAAACCUUAGUGCUAUGAAGUAGUAAUAUUGCCCAAAUAUGUAUGUAAAGGAAUAUGGCUACAUGUUGUACCUGAAGUCUGUCCCGUCCAGCUUACACAUUCUCUUCUCUGUCAAGUUAAACUCAGAUUAUCCAACUUUCUUAACCUACG
rnacentral:rRNA from 1 species